UACGGAAGGGGCAAGCGUUGUUCGGAAUCAUUGGGCGUAAAGGGCGCGUAGGUGGUUCUGUAUGUCUACCGUGAAAGCGUACGGCUCAACCGUAUUUUGUCGGUAGAAACUGCAGGACUUGAGGCUGGGAGGGGCUGGUGGAAUUCCCUGUGUAGCGGUGAAAUGCGUAGAGAGUGGGGGGAGAACACUCGUGGCGAAGGCGGCCAGCUAGACCAGUUCUGACACUGAGGCGCGACAGCGUGGGGAGCAAACAGG
rnacentral:rRNA from 1 species